UCCAGAAUAGACAAAGUGGCUAAGUCAUACGACCUAAAAUCGUACAUAUGGGGGUUCGAGUCCCCCUUCCGGACC
rnacentral:tRNA from 1 species